GGCGGGGGCCUGAGCGCCCCGGGCUCCUUCCGGGCUCUCCCGCCCGCCGGGCUCCCCGCCGGCUCCGGAGGCGGCAGCGGCGCGGCCGGAGCGAAGCGGCGGUGGGGCCACGUUGGGCGCCAGGCGGGAGCGGAGGCCGCCGCGGACCCCGCAAUCCCGCAGCCCGCGACUGGAUCCCACCUCUGCAGAGACAAAGGAGCUACUCCAGAGAACACCAGCUGAAAGUAAAUGUCCUUGAGGGCCCCAGCAGUCUCCUCAUCAUUAAUGCAUGGGCAUGACCAUCCAGGCUUCAGAACCUGCCUGAAGGAGAAGAAUCAGCAAACACCACGGAAGCAGAGGACACAAGCUUGGAUGUGAAAUAGCAACAUCUUAUGCAUUGAAGAAUAAUAAAACAAU